rnacentral:rRNA from 1 species
UGCGUAGGUGGCAAUGUAUGUCGGAUGUGAAAUCUCGAGGCUCAACUUCGAAAUUGCAUUCGAAACUGCAUAGCUUGAGUACAGGAUGGGAGAGCGGAAUUCUUGGUGUAGCGGUGAAAUGCGUUGAUAUCAAGAAGAACACCGGCGGCGAAGGCGGCUCUCUGGAAUGUUACUGACACUGAGGCACGAAAGCUGGGGGAGCAAACAGGAUUAGAUACCCUGGUAGUCC